rnacentral:rRNA from 1 species
UACGUAGGGUGCAAGCGUUAAUCGGAAUUACUGGGCGUAAAGCGUGCGCAGGCGGCUAUGCAAGACAGAUGUGAGAUCCCCGGGCUCAACCUGGGAACUGCAUUUGUGACUGCAUGGCUAGAGUGCGGCAGAGGGGGAUGGAAUUCCGCGUGUAGCAGUGAAAUGCGUAGAUAUGCGGAGGAACACCGAUGGCGAAGGCAAUCCCCUGGGCCUGCACUGACGCUCAUGCACGAAAGCGUGGGGAGCAACAGG